GUGCCAGCCGCCGCGGUAAUACGGAGGGUCCAAGCGUUAUCCGGAUUUAUUGGGUUUAAAGGGUGCGCAGGCGGAUUUGUAAGUCAGUGGUGAAAUCCCCCGGCUUAACCUGGGAACUGCAUACAAUACUGUCUAACUAGAGUGCAGCAGAGGAAGGUGGAAUUCCGGGUGUAGCGGUGAAAUGCGUAGAUAUCUGGAGGAACAUCAGUGGCGAAGGCGACCUUCUGGGCUGACACUGACGCUCAUGUACGAAAGCGUGGGGAGCAAACAGGAUUAGAAACCCUUGUAGUCC
rnacentral:rRNA from 1 species